rnacentral:rRNA from 1 species
GUGUCAGCCGCCGCGGUAAUACGUAGGUGGCGAGCGUUGUCCGGAAUUACUGGGCGUAAAGAGUGCGUAGGCGGAUAUUUAAGUGAGAUGUGAAAUACCCGGGCUUAACCCGGGCACUGCAUUUCAAACUGGAUAUCUAGAGUGCGGGAGAGGAGAAUGGAAUUCCUAGUGUAGCGGUGAAAUGCGUAGAGAUUAGGAAGAACACCAGUGGCGAAGGCGAUUCUCUGGACCGUAACUGACGCUGAGGCACGAAAGCGUGGGUAGCAAACAGGAUUAGAUACCCUGGUAGUCCACGCCGUAAACGAUGAGUACUAGGUGUAGGAGGUAUCGACCCCUUCUGUGCCGCAGUAAACACAAUAAGUACUCCGCCUGGGAAGUACGAUCGCAAGAUUAAAACUCAAAGGAAUUGACGG